UACGUAGGGUGCAAGCGUUUAAUCGGAAUUACUGGGCGUAAAGCGUGCGCAGGCGGUUUUGUAAGUCUGUCGUGAAAGCCCCGGGCUCAACCUGGGAAUUGCGAUGGAGACUGCAAGGCUUGAAUCUGGCAGAGGGGGGGUAGAAUUCCACGUGUAGCAGUGAAAUGCGUAGAGAUGUGGAGGAACACCGAUGGCGAAGGCAGCCCCCCUGGGUCAAGAUUGACGCUCAUGCACGAAAGCGUGGGGAGCAAACAGG
rnacentral:rRNA from 1 species